GAUGAACGCUGGCGGCGUGCCUAAUACAUGCAAGUCGAGCGAACGGACGAGAAGCUUGCUUUUCUGAUGUUAGCGGCGGACGGGUGAGUAACACGUGGAUAACCUACCUAUAAGACUGGUAUAACUUCGGGAAACCGGAGCUAAUACCGGAUAAUAUUUUGAACCGCAUGGUUCAAAAGUGAAAGACGGUCUUGCGGUCACUUAUAGAUGGAUCCGCGCUGCAUUAGCUAGUUGGUAAGGUAACGGCUUACCAAGGCAACGAUGCGUAGCCGAACUGAGAGGGUGAUCGGCCACACGGGAACUGAGACACGGUCCAGACUCCUACGGGAGGCAGCAGUAGGGAAUCUUCCGCAAUGGGCGAAAGCCUGACGGAGCAACGGCGCGUGAGUGAUGAAGGUCUUCGGAUCGUAAAACUCUGUUAUUAGGGAAGAACAUAUGUGUAAUUAACUGUGCACAUCUUGACGGUACCGAAUCAGAAAGCAACGGCUAACUACGUG
rnacentral:rRNA from 1 species